AGGGGAGGAGCUCAAGCGGUAGAGCACAUGCUUAGCAUGCAUGAGGUCCUGGGGUCAACCCCCAGCACUCCUC
rnacentral:tRNA from 1 species